GAAGAACUAGUCUUGAAAGCUGAAGCCCCUUGGUGAACAUGCUACUCAUCUCGAGAGCCUUCAUGGAGCUUCCCAAAGCUCAGAUGACAAAGGCACAAGGCCAACAGUAGAGAUUUUUACUUUCAGCAGCGGAUGAAAAAAGGUCUGAUAUUUGUGAUGGAAAACAAAAAAGUCAAUGUCGUGUAAGCCAGUUCACCUUCCUAUAGGUAAGUAAACUAUUCAGAUGCCGUAUUCAUAUAUGUACAACAGUUCAGGAAGAGGUGCAGUGUUCAGAAAUGGGAAAUAGAUUGUAUUUCCUUGUGAAUGCUAUUUUCUAUGAAAGCGGAUUGAUUAUUUGUAUAUUAUGAUUUUUUUUUUUCUUUUUUUAACAUAGAGAUAUUUUCACUGACAUCUGGGUCUCUCAUGUAACUGUACUUGUAUGUAUGAGUUCUGUUCCCAAGUGGGAUGGCUGUGAUUCUUGCCUCUCUCCCAUAAGAAGCCCUUUUCCAAUUUACAGAGGAAAUUGAAUCUUUUCCCUAAGACAGAUCUGAGUUAUCCUGGUCUUACUUAAGUUUUGUUUUGCUGUGGGGGAUGUUUCAUGAGAGUAGUGCAGUAAGAGAAGACAGUUGAAAAUCAGAAAAUCUCCAUACACCUGUGACGUAUGCUGGCAUUGAUCUCAGUGAAUUUAUGGCUAACACAGAGGUCAUGAAAGGCCUAUGCCAUAAUAAAUACAUCCUUUGUGUUCAGUAAAAGUGAAUGCUCUGAGAAAAGGAAGGAAUAUUUCUUUGCUUGAAGAUAUAGUACUGUCAUUUUAUUUCCAUUUUACACAGUUAGCAAAUGUUCUUCAUGCUACCAGCAGUUAUUUAUCAUUUCAUGUAUACUAUUGCAUUUUUGUUGAAAGAUAAUUUUUUUAAAAAAUGCCUUAAGUUACUGUGAUUUUUUUCUUAAUGUUCUAAUACAUACAAUAUAAUUAAUUUGGGAACCCAAAUAGUUUGUUUAUCAGCAUAGAGAAUGAAUAGACAUUGGUCGAUUAGUAAAAUUACGCUAUGGAAAAGUUGUGAUAGUUCCCUAGUUUAUUACAAAAAAACCUAUUAAGCACAUGUAGUUGUGAAAUCUUCAGAAGACAGUCCUUGUGAGUACAGUAGUGGAAUGCAUUGCAUAGCAAAAAUAUUUAAAUGAAGAACAAGAUAAAAUUGUUGUUGUUGUUGUUGUUGUUUCAGGCAACAUUUUCCUAUAAUUUUUCCAUGGCCUUAUCACUUAAAUGAUUAGUGUGAGAGCCUAAAAAAAAUAUCUUAUACAGUAAUGCAAAAGCUACAAAGGUGAUCAUAGAUUGCAUUUUUCAAAUUAAAUGUCUACUACUUAUUUUUUGUUACAAGUUUUGCAUGUUCAAAAAUGGCAUUUAUCUGGCACACGUAUUUUUGAAGAUUAACUUAGGAGACUUUCUUUAUCAGCAUUUCUAAGUACACAGUCUGCCAGACAGCAAUUAGCCUGGCAAUAUUCUGAACACCUGCUUCAGGGCUGGUCCAUCUUUCAGGCCCUUUCAGAAGACCACAGCGUGGGUUCAUUGCACUGCAUGUUGGCAAGGCAGAUGAAGUGUUUCUGCUGCUGGACCUGGCUCUUGGCACUGCAUGCUGAGUUCCCUGUCAGCGCAGCCCUGAUGGCACUAGGGACUAUUGCAGUACCCUUUGGGCAUCUGGGGGGAAAUCAGAGUUCUUUGCAGCUUAAGCAAUCUUGCUCCCUUUCACUCAAAUCUUAAAGAAGGUAUAAAGAUCCUGUUUAACGUGGUCCAGCAGCUUUGUUUUUUCUGCCUCUCACAUGAAAGGUUAAAUUAUAACAUGACUGUCCUUUAGACUCUGUGACUUUAAACACAGAUGUUUAAUACAUCCACGUAAAUUAUACUGAUUGCUUUCCUCACCUUUUUUUCCCUUCAAUCAUUAAUGAACGUUUCCUACAAGUAAGUUAAAACACCCAAGCAGAUGACGAACUUUGGACUUACUAGUUUGAAUUUGUACUUCUAGAAUUAGUUCACCAACAGAGAGAUCUUGUAAAGACUGCAAGUGUACAAAAGGGUGCUUCUCAGUCUGGACCACAGGUUAGAGGACAGUAGUAGGUCUAUUAUGUGGAACAGUUCUGUGUUUCGAGGUUUUCCUCCAUAGCAGAUUUUGUACCUUCUGAUAAUAAAACAACAGCAAAGAAAAACCACCACUUUAAACUGAGGAAGUUAUUCCUUUGGGUUAUUUAGCACACCAGCUGCAUUCAGUGCCUGGCAAGUACUCCUUCCAGGGGGCUUUAUGGAUGCACUUCUCUAUGCCCUCAGGAGCUGCCACUGCUACACCACCUGCAGAGCAGAUCAUCUAUCUGUACACCCGUACAGCUGUGACCUAGAAUUGCACACCCCGAGAUCAUUCUAGACCAAAAUAAGCUGCUCCUCGUGUGGCUACAGUAAAAUUUCAAGUGGCCUUUCCGCUUCAGCUGUCAUGGAGCCCAAGGAAUGACUGAAGUAAAUGGAGACUGUGCUGGCUGGGCAGCUGUCUUCAGUCACUUCUCACUUAGGCAACCCAGUGCGUGUGUUUGCGAAAUGCCACGCUCUCCCAGGGAAAUCUCUGCCAAUGCCACACUAACCUUACUUUUCCUAAUAUGUAGCGCAAAAUUCUCUGAUGGAACUGAAGCUCACUGACCUCUUGGUUAUGGCUAGUAUAAGUUUGUUCUUUUUCUUUGCCGUGACUUGUUUUGUUUUCUGGAAGAAUGUUAUGUAUCAUUCUGCUCUCCUUCUCUUUAGGUUAAACCCCAUGUAGUUUUCUCCCAUUACCAGUUUUCUAGAGCCCUGAUGGCUCUUUUUGUGUUGUGGGCUGCUCUUUCUGCUGUGAAGUACACAGACAGAGCCUUUUGCACUACAGCACUGUCUCAGAAAUGAGGCUGGAGUUCAUAUCAUACAUCUGUCACUCCUGGCAGUGUUUCUUUAUUUUCUUGAACACUCUGAGGUAGAUUUAAGCACUUUAAGAAACCGCUAAAGUUCAUGGACCUUUACAAAGUGUGUAUGGAGGAGUCAGUCUGGACUGCUGAUACCAAAAAGGAGUUCUGCCAUGCCUGUCACUGCUGCGGGGGCUGUGCACGUUUUAAAUUGCUUCAGAACGUCAGCAGCCACUCGUCUGGGAAUAUUUCUAUUCCCAGCUGCAGCUGAUGCGGAUGCGGCGGACGCUAGUGCCGGCCUGGCAGGGCAGCGGCACGGCUGUCACACGGGCCGCGGUGUCGGGCAGCUUCUGCGGCGGGUAUCGCAGACCGUGGAGGGAAAGCCGCAGCGCGCCGAACAGGGGGGAGCUCGGGGCCGGCCGUGAUGCCGCAAGGAAGCGCCUGCGGUCAUCAAGCGGCGCGGCCGUGAUCCCCGCUGCGUGCACCCGGGCGCGUUAAAAGCGAGAGAAGCGGCGGUCGUGCUUGCGAGGCUUCGCCACAGACGCGUCAAUAAAAAUGGGGGAGGCAGCGAGACUUGCCGGCGGGAGGAGGCGGCGGGGCCGGGGGCCGCCCGGAGCGCGGAGGAGGGCCGGGGCCGCUGCGGAGGCGAGCGGUGCUCUCGCCCGAAGGGGUCGCUCGGGACCCGCGGGGCCGGGCAACCCCCCC